ensembl:lncRNA
UUGCCUCAAAGCCUGCUGAGGGACACAGAUGAACAAGUUCAAGCAAGUCUUGACCAAGAACUGGGAAAUCCUUUGUCAGAAGGGACAACAGAUGGACAAGGCCAGGAGAAAUGAGAGAGAGAGAUAAGUGGCAGCUAAAUGGCCAGGAAACAGUCUUUUGUGUGGACUUAUCUCAAGGUGGACAGCCAUCUUAGGGGGUGCUCAUGUGACGCUUACCCAAGCAGCCAGGAAUGUCACGUAGGCAGAGAAGGAGGAUAAAAGAGGGUCCAACAACCAUGAAGGCAGGUUUCUGACAACAGAUUCCUCAUGACCUGCCUCUCUCUCCUGGACUUGAUCUGUGCUCUACCUGCUUGCUGCCUAAGGAUGGCCCCUCUGCUGCUGCUCUCCCUCCCAAGGAGUUGUCUGCCAUCAGAUCCCUCACUACAAAAGGCCUGCAUGCUGACGGACUCUCCAGGGCCUGCUACCGGAGACCUGCUACUUCCGCCCGGACUUCUUCCUGGACCUACUUGGUACCUGCACCUUCUCGCUGCUCAAGACCGGCCAUGCUGCUGCAUGCCCUGCGCUUUUGCCCCAGACCGUCGGAACACUAUGCAACAGGACUACUGCCGGAUCCUGGUGGUGACUUUCCCCGCUUUACGCAAUUCUUUCUUCUUCCUAUCUUUUCUAUCGCCUGCCUUCCCUUCCCCAUCACCCCAAUCCAUAAUAGUGUCCGUCCUCUCCUUCCCCAUCUCCCUUAUUAAGAUUUGUAAUAAACUGGUUGGACCAACAUCUGGACUGUUGUUUCUUAAUCUCAUGCCAGGUAUACAUAUUUCAAAGAACCUCCUCUCCCUCCUAUAAAUUGGAGUGAGACAGUUGUGAAUGUCCCCUCUCUGGAAGCAUUCAAGGCCAGGCUGGAUGGGGCUUUGCACAGCCUGGCCUAAACGGAGGUGUCCCUGCCUAUAGCAGGGAGGUUGGAACUAGGUGAUCUUAAAGGUUCCUUCCAACUCAAACAAUUCUAUGACUGUCAAGAAGACUGAGUAUUGAUAUAAGAUUGAUAACUCAGUAGCCUUGGAACAGUGAAUCAUUCUCCAUGUGUUUUUAAAGAGUAUUACAGUGAAAAUGCUGU